rnacentral:rRNA from 1 species
CCUACGGGGGGCUGCAGUGGGGAAUAUUAGACAAUGGGGGGAACCCUGAUCCAGCCAUGCCGCGUGUGUGAAGAAGGCCCUCGGGUUGUAAAGCACUUUCAGUGAGGAAGAACGCCUGGUGGUUAAUACCCAUCAGGAAAGACAUCACUCACAGAAGAAGCACCGGCUAACUCCGUGCCAGCAGCCGCGGUAAUACGGAGGGUGCGAGCGUUAAUCGGAAUUACUGGGCGUAAAGCGCGCGUAGGUGGCUUGAUAAGCCGGUUGUGAAAGCCCCGGGCUCAACCUGGGAACGGCAUCCGGAACUGUCAAGCUAGAGUGCAGGAGAGGAAGGUAGAAUUCCCGGUGUAGCGGUGAAAUGCGUAGAGAUCGGGAGGAAUACCAGUGGCGAAGGCGGCCUUCUGGACUGACACUGACACUGAGGUGCGAAAGCGUGGGUAGCAAACAGGAUUAGAUACCCCAGUAGUC